CCUACGGGAGGCAGCAGUGAGGAAUAUUGGUCAAUGGGCGCUAGCCUGAACCAGCCAAGUAGCGUGAAGGAUGACUGCCCUAUGGGUUGUAAACUUCUUUUAUAUGGGAAUAAAGUGCAGCAUGUAUGCUGCUUUGCAUGUACCUUAUAAAUAAGGAUCGGAUAACUCCGUGCCAGCAGCCGCGGUAAUACGGGGGAACCGAGCGUUUUUCGGAUUUAUUGGGGUUAAAGGGAGGGUAGGCGGGUUUUUAAGUAAGUUGUGAAAGUUUGCGGGUCAAACGUAAAAGUGCAGUUGAAACUGGCAUCCUUGAGUACAGUAGAGGUAGGCGGAAUUCGUGGUGUAGCGGUGAAAUGCUUAGAUAUCACGAAGAACUCCGAUUGCGAAGGCAGCCUGCUGGAGUGCAACUGACGCUGAUGCACGAAAGUGUGGGUAUCGAACAGGAUUAGAUACCCCUGUAGUC
rnacentral:rRNA from 1 species